GACGAACGCUGGCGGCGUGCUUAACACAUGCAAGUCGAACGAAGAGCGAUGGAAGCUUGCUUCUAUCAAUCUUAGUGGCGAACGGGUGAGUAACGCGUAAUCAACCUGCCCUUCAGAGGGGGACAACAGUUGGAAACGACUGCUAAUGCCGCAUACGAUCUGACCUCGGCAUCGAGGAUAGAUGAAAGGUGGCCUCUAUUGAUAAGCUAUCACUGAAGGAGGGGAUUGCGUCUGAUUAGCUAGUUGGAGGGGGAACGGCCCACCAAGGCGAUGAUCAGUAGCCGGUCUGAGAGGAUGAACGGCCACCUUGGGACUGAGACACGGCCCAGACUCCUACGGGAGGCAGCAGUGGGGAAUCUUCCGCAAUGGACGAAAGUCUGACGGAGCAACGCCGCGUGAGUGAUGACGGCCUUCGGGUUGUAAAGCUCUGUUAAUCGGGACGAAAGGCCUUCUUGCGAAUAGUUAGAAGGAUUGACGGUACCGGAAGAGAAAGCCACGGCUAACUACGUG
rnacentral:rRNA from 1 species